rnacentral:rRNA from 1 species
UACGUAGGGUGCAAGCGUUAAUCGGAAUUACUGGGCGUAAAGCGUGCGCAGGCGGUUUUGUAAGUCUGACGUGAAAUCCCCGGGCUCAACCUGGGAAUUGCGUUGGAGACUGCAAGGCUGGAGUCUGGCAGAGGGGGGUAGAAUUCCACGUGUAGCAGUGAAAUGCGUAGAGAUGUGGAGGGACACCGAUGGCGAAGGCAGCCCCCUGGGUCAAGACUGACGCUCAUGCACGAAAGCGUGGGGAGCAAACAGG